UACGUAGGGACCAAGCGUUGUUCGGAUUUACUGGGCGAAAGGGCGCGUAGGCGGCGUGGUAAGUCACUUGUGAAAUCUCUGAGCUUAACUCAGAACGGUCAAGUGAUACUGCUGUGCUAGAGUGCGGAAGGGGCAAUCGGAAUUCUUGGUGUAGCGGUGAAAUGCGUAGAUAUCAAGAGGAACACCUGAGGUGAAGACGGGUUGCUGGGCUGACACGUGACGUGAGGCGCGAAAGCUAGGGGAGCAAACGGG
rnacentral:rRNA from 1 species